AUUGAACGCUGGCGGCAGGCCUAACACAUGCAAGUCGAGCGGAUGAAGGGAGCUUGCUCCUGGAUUCAGCGGCGGACGGGUGAGUAAUGCCUAGGAAUCUGCCUGGUAGUGGGGGAUAACGUCCGGAAACGGGCGCUAAUACCGCAUACGUCCUGAGGGAGAAAGUGGGGGAUCUUCGGACCUCACGCUAUCAGAUGAGCCUAGGUCGGAUUAGCUAGUUGGUGGGGUAAAGGCCUACCAAGGCGACGAUCCGUAACUGGUCUGAGAGGAUGAUCAGUCAACGGGGAAGUAAGAGACGGACCAGGCCCGAAGGGGGGGCAAGAGUGGGAAAUUUUGGAAAAGGGGGGAAACCUUGACCCAGCCCGGCCGGGUGGUGGAAGAAGGUCUUCGGAUUGAAAAGCGCUUUAGGUUGGGAAGAAGGGUAGAAAGUUAAAACCUUGUUUUUUGACGGUUACCAAAAAAAAAACCCCCGGCUAAUUUGGU
rnacentral:rRNA from 1 species